GUAAGGUGGGGAUAAAAAUGCCUCUCUUGGCCUGCAAGUCCGUGUGGAGCCGCAAAAGCGGGUCUCUAUUCGGCAGGAUGGGGUUUGUCAAAGUUGUCAAGAACAAGGCCUACUUUAAGAGAUACCAAGUGAAAUUCAGAAGACGACGAGAGGGUAAAACUGAUUACUAUGCUCAGAAACGCUUGGUGAUACAGGAUAAAAAUAAGUACAACACACCCAAAUACAGAAUGAUAGUUCGUGUAACUAACAGAGAUAUCAUUUGUCAGAUUGCUUAUGCCCAUAUAGAAGGGGAUAUGAUAGUCUGCGCAGCUUACGCACACGAACUACCAAAAUAUGGUAUGAAGGUUGGCCUGACAAAUUAUGCUGCAACAUAUUGUACUGGCCUGCUGCUGGCCCGCAGCCUUCUCAAUAGGUUUGGCAUGGACAAGAUCUAUGAAGGCCAAGUGGAAGUGACAGGAGAUGAAUACAAUGUGGAAAGCAUCGACGGCCAGCCUGGUGCUUUUACGUGCUAUUUGGAUGCAGGCCUUGCCAGAACUACCACUGGCAAUAAAGUUUUUGGGGCCCUGAAGGGAGCUGUGGAUGGAGGCUUGUCUAUUCCUCACAGUACGAAAAGAUUCCCUGGUUAUGAUUCUGAAAGCAAGGAAUUUAAUGCUGAAGUACACCGGAAGCACAUCAUGGGUCAGAAUGUUGCAGAUUAUAUGCGUUAUCUAAUGGAAGAAGAUGAAGAUGCUUACAAGAAACAGUUCUCUCAAUACAUAAAGAACAACGUUACUCCAGACAUGGAGGAGAUGUAUAAGAAAGCCCAUGCUGCUAUACGAGAUAAUCCAGUGUAUGAGAAGAAGCCCAAGAAAGAAGUUAAGAAGAAGAGAUGGAACCGUCCCAAAAUGUCCCUUGCCCAGAAGAAAGAUCGGGUAGCUCAAAAGAAGGCAAGCUUCCUCAGAGCUCAGGAGCGGGCUGCUGAAAGCUAAACCAAACAGCAAUUUUUUAUGAGGAUUUUCAAUGUAAAGACAAUAAACUUAUUGAAUAAGCAGCUAAAAAAAAAA